UUUCUCUCUCUCGCUCUCUUUCUCUCUCUCGCGACAUGGCUGUCUGCUUUCAAUCUGUCCUCCUUUAAUCCCAGCUAUCUAUCAUAUCCCACCAGCUAUUCUUGGUGUGAAAGUAACCUGAGACAAACUGAACUAUAGGUGCCUUCUAGGAGAUGUGCGCUUCUAUAAUACAGCAGAGUAGCUUCAACUAAUUUCUGGAAACACGGUGGCAAGAACCACCAGACUUGUGAAGCCAGAAUGAUUUCUUUCUGGCUGUUUUGGUGGAGAUCUGGUGACAUCUUUUACCUGUGUCCGGUUGGGAUAGGAAGAGAGUGAGAUUACUCCAUACCCUGUAAGGCACACAAACAACAAGGCAUUGUGGAGCUGCAGCCCAGCGGAUCUCUUAUCUCAGGUAGUUGGGGGGGAACAGCAGGUGUGUAUGAUUGCAUGGUUAGUAGGGGGGGUGGAGGGGACGGACCACUGAGGCACAGGGUGUGGCGGGGGGGGCACUAUGUCUGAGUUUCCAGACACUGCGGCAGGAAGCCAGCCAGUCACCUGAACACACAAAUUACACUUCCCCGCACACACCCCGGUGUUCGUCCCCAUGAAAGCAAAUGUAAUAUUCUGUUAUAAUCCAUUUGGGGGGGGAAUGUAGUGCUAGAGACAAUAUACCAUUUAGCACUUUAGACAAUAUAACCAUAAUCAACGGCACAAAAACACAAAGGGCCAAGUUUUUCCUUUUAUGCUCAGGCCAGCGGUGGCCAGGAAUAAGGUUCAUUACAGUAAGUUGAACAUUGGUGUGUGAACACACUAUCGAAUAGACAGUAUCUACCUCUGGCUGCACUGAAACAUCGUUUUAACCAAAGGCAUAGGGAUGGAGUAUAGAGACACUGAUGUCUAGACAGUGGUAUUGAAUAUAUGGUUAUUGUUCACUAACAGACCUUAGCAUGUCCACUGGCACUUUAGGUUUGCCUGAGUGUGUGUCUGUGUGUGCAUGUGUGAGUGCAUGUCUAUGUGCAUGUGUUAUGUGUGCAUUCUAUCUAUGUAAGUGCGGCCCAUUCUAGCCGGGUACUCCCCCCAUUCCCUCCCUCCUCCCCACAUCCACGGUUGCCUCCCUGCCUCUCACUUCGUCAGAGGUGUUGCCACGGAAACGUGGUAUCUUGCUGCAGGCUUGCUGGAGUUAUUGAACCGCAACUGGCUGGGAUAAUUAGACUCUGGGACUUGAAUGUGACCUACAGCUGGCUUGGCUGUGUCGCCACAGAGAAAUGCUUUUAACCCGUUGGUUAGUUGGCCACCAGACACUUGGGCCAAUGAAUGUACCUUUUACCCGGCAAGGACGUGGUCAAUAAAGAGACUGUAGACUUAGUCCCAGAGAUACUGCACACAGACCUGCACAAACACACAUUCAUACACACACACACUCAAAUCCUGCAUUCUGGCUUCCUUUGUGUCACUACAAAGAAAUCAUGACAGAGGAAGUUCCUUUUGUCUUCUCGAGUGCACUGCACUGCCCAACCCAUGCAUAGUUGGUCACAUGGACACACAAUCUGUUUACUCAUAUUUCACGGCAGGGGCGGCAGGUAGCCUAGUGGUUAGUGAUUAGAGUGUUGGACUAGUAACCGAAAUGUUGCAAGAUAGAAUCCCUUAGCUGACAAUGUAAAAAUCUGUCAUUCUGCCUCUGAACAAGGCAGUUAACCCACUGUUCCUAGGCCGUCAUUGAAAAUAAGAAUUUGUUUUUAACUGACUUUCCUAGUUAAAUAAAUAAAGGUAAAAUAUACAUAUAUAUAUAUAUAUAUAUAUAUAUAUAUAUUUAAAAUAAACUCAUAUUUCACACACUGAAUGGUUAUGAUGUGAAUUACUCUGCCUGAAUGUUUGUGUGAGUCAGAUAUAUGAAUCCAAAUGACUUUUUUCCCCGGAAUGGUCCUGAAAUGUUCGUCCUCCAGUCAUUGUUAACAUCCUUUUUUCCUGGUUUUCCUUCUCCCACUAAUUGCUGUCAUUAUCCUUUCUUGUUUAGGUACUGUGGAGCCCCCCCCCCUCUCUUUCUCUCUCAGUGUAUGCUCACUCACAGGUAAGAGACCAAAUCACAGUCACUGUAAAACAGUGAAUAAGAAUAAGGACACUAUUUACUUCAUUAAGAUCUCGAACCUUACCCUCAGUUUAGCCAUAUUCUUAUUUUACAUCUGGAGACAUUAGUCUCUGUGUUUUAAUUAUAUUAGUCUCUGUGCUUUAAUUAUACUUUCCUCCAUUUUGGUCCACAUUGCGCAUUGUCUCGCCAUGAGUCAGUAGAAAUGUCAGGCGUGUUGGCUGCUGCUCUGCCAGACAGACAGCCUAGAGCUGGGUAAUUAGCCAGAGUCGUUUGGGGCAUGUGGCUCUGCAGAUCUAGAUGCCCACUGUGCACAGGGAGACACCAGACAACCUUUUAGUCUGCCCCGUCCCACUGCAGUCACUUAAAACACUGAUGUAUGUCCCCCCUCUCUGCCUCUAUCUCCCUCUCUCUCUUUUUUCUUGUUUCUAUUUUUUUGAAUGUACCUCUCUUUCCCUCUCACUCUUUAUUUCACUCUCUCUUGUGUUCUCUGUCUCCCUCUCUCUCUCUCUCUCUCUCUCUCUUUCUCCCUCUCUGUCUCUGUUUCCCCAGGACGAAAAGAAGUAGGUAGCCAAGGUGUAAGGGACGGGGUGGCUGAAGGGCUGCGUUCCUCAGACGGAGCAGAGCAGAACGCUCUCUCCUCCUCUCCCCUUGUCAUUGGUAUGCAGUGGCUGUUCCCCAGGCGACAGGGCCACUGGGUUCGGGCUGAGCUUACUGCAAGAGGAAAUUCAGUGACACAGAGGAGAGGAGGACAGCAGGUAAGGGUAAUGAGAACAGGCAGAGAAAGGAGAGGGGGAAAGAGAGAAGGAGGGAAGAAGAGGACAAGCGAAAGGAGGACAAGAUGUCCCAAGGGGCUUUGGGGGUGAGGCACCCCCUGACCCUUCGCACUCCGUACACUGUCCAGACACUAACACACACGCACACGCACACACACACACACACACACACACACACGCACACACACACACACACACACACACACACACACACACACACAAACCUAAACUCUUUUAAAAAAGGAGAACCCUUUUUGGUUCCAGGUAGAACCCUUUUUAGUUCAAUGUAGAACCCUCUGUGGAAAGGGUUCUACAUGAAACCCAAACGGGUUCUACCUGGAACCAAAAAUAGUUCAUCAAAGGUUUCUCCAAUAGGGGACAGCCAAUGAACCCAUUUAGGUUCUAGAUAGCACCUUUUUGUUUCUAAGUAUACAGUGCAUUCGGAAAGUAUACAGACCUCUUCACUUUUUCCACAUUUUGUUAUGUUACAGCCUUAUUCUAUAAUGGAUUACAUUUUUUUUUUAAAUUCUCCUUAUCAAUCUAUACACAAUACCCCAUAAUGACAAAGCAAAAACAGGUUUUUAGACAUUUUUGCAGACAAUGAGUAAAAAAUAUCGCUUUUACAGAAAUAUUCAGACCCUUUACUCAGUACUUUGUUGAAGCACCUUUGGCAGCAAUUACAGCAUUGAGUCUUCCUGGGUAUGACGCUACAAGCUUGGCACACAUGUAUUUGGGGUGUUUCACCCAUUCUUCUCUGCAGAUCCUCUCAAGCUCUGUCAGGUUGGAUGGGGAGCAUCGUUGCACAGCUAUUAUCAGGUCUCUCCAGAAAUGUUUGAUCACUUUCAAGUCUGGACUCUUGUUGGGCCACUCAAGGACAUUCAGAGACUUGUUCCGAAGCCACUCCUGCAUUGUCUUGGCUGUGUGCUUAGGGUCUUUGUCCUGUUGGAAGGUGAACCUUCACCCCAGUCUGAGGUCCUGAGAGCUCUGAAGCAGGUUUUCAUCAAGGAUCUCUCUGUACUUUGCUCUGUUCAUCUUUCCCCCGAUCCUGAUUAGUCUCCCAGUCCCUGCCACUGAAAAAACAUUGCCACAGAAUGAUGCUGCCACCACCAUGCUUCACCGUAGGAUUGGUGCCAGGUUUCCUCCAGAAGUGACUCUUUGCAUUCAGGCCAAAGAGUUCAAUCUUGGUUUCAUCAGACCAAAGAAUGUUGUUUCUCAUGGUCUGAUAGUCUUUAGGUGCCUUUUGGCAAACUCCAAGUGGACUGUUAUGUGCCUUUUACUGAGGAGUGGCAUCCAUCUAGCUACUCUAACGGCCUGAUUGGUGGAGUGCUGCAGAGAUGGUUUUCCUUCUGGAAGGUUCUCCCAUCUCCACAGAGGAACUCUCACAGAGGAACUCUCACGGAAAUACUUUCCGAAUGUGCUGUAUAUGUAUUAAAGGUCCAAUGCAGUUGUUUUAUUCUCAAUAUCAAAAAUUAUUUGUAGGUAACAGUUAAGUACCUUUACUGUGAUUAUUUUUUUAAGUAAAAUGGUCAAGAAAAAAACAUUUGCUUCUUCGCAAAGAGCACUGGGCCUUUAAUGGCAAAACACCCGACUAGACACUUUAUGUCAAGCGCACAUCAUGUAUCCAAAAAGCAAGAACAAAUGUAUUCUCUCUCACAAACACACAAGGGGAGUUUGGGCAAUGUUUGGUACUUUUGGCUUUUUUCUUUGUAAGAGCCUUUAUGACUAUAUAGUGAUAAUGUAAUGCUUCUUGAGAUACAUAUGUUAUAUCUUGUUAUAUCCAAUAUAUUGUAUUUUAUUAUGUUGUCACGUAAACAUGUUUUUUUUUCUUCAAAUACAUGUUUUACGUUUUUGAGAAUAGUGUUAUAAAGAAAGCAAAUGAUUGAAUGCAAACAGUGUAAAAUGUCGUUACAAAUUAUGUGAAAAUAAAUAGAUUAAUAUUAC
ensembl:lncRNA